UGUGAGGUGUCUACAAAGUGGUUAAAACCCUCUUUAUAUAGUAGAGUAAUUCUAACGGUUUCUGACACCAAAUAUUCUCCCUCCUCUUACUCGCCCGAUUUGAGAUAUAGCACGCGAUUGGAAGGUUCUGGAGAACGAUUGUUGGAUGAGUGUGAGGCGUUGGAUUGAUUUCACUCAAUCUGAGCCUCACAUUUAUCAAGGGCUCGUUGUCAAAAGGGACCAGAUCCAAUUUUGUAAGGGGAGGAGGAUUCAGAGGGAUUUUUAGAGAGGAUUUUGGAAAAGAAUUUGAGAGAUUUUUCUUCUUCAGCUUUUAUUGUUCUUUUAUUUCUGAUACUGGAACAACAAAAAAAAUCAUUGAGUGUUCGGCUAUUUCAUUUCAUGUCAAUUAUUGUUUAAAGUUUUUUUUUUCGAAAUCUCUAGAGUCCGUCUUCUUCAUUUUGAUUCUGGAUUUUGGUUUAAAAAUGGAAGUCAUUUGAGAAGUUCAAGGUUGUUGCUGCUCGAGGGUUGAUUUUCAGCUGCUAUUUGCUUCCUUUUGGUCGAUUUCAGUGUUGUAUUAAUUCAGUCUCUUAUUUCCAGGCUCAUUUCUCUGCCGCUGCGUUUAAUUUUUUGAGGUUAUGUGGAGUAAAUCAAAUUUGCCAGAAUUUCUUAUAUUGUUGCAUUCACCGGAAGUUCUUUCUAUUUAAACAAAUCUGGUGCCUUGGAGUGUUUUAUUAGCCAGGUUCUUUCAUAGUAGUUGCUUGAUUUUGUAUUCAAUUUGUACUCCAUGACAAUGAAACACUAUUGAAUGUAUGAAGAAAGAAAGUCAGAAGAGUUUGGCAUUAAAAGUUUGUCCAGUAUAGUGAGACAGGGGUCAGUUUAUUUUCUGUUCGUUCAUCAAAUUGUUUUCUUUGCUAAUGAUGUCCCUAUCAGUUUAAGUUCAAAUCAUAUCUUAUUAUUUUACGUAU